rnacentral:lncRNA from 1 species
GGGAAUUUGAUCUAGGAAGAUGUGUUUCAGAUUCUCGGAAACUGGAAUAAUGCUUUCACAAACUUUAAGUUUCAUUAUCCUAAAAUGUUAUCGCAGCUCGCCAGGAAAGGAACGCACAAUUAUUUCUCCCUCCAAUGUCGAAGAGGCUGAGGCUGGACCACCUGACCAUAACAAAAGCUCCAUGCCUUCGUCCAGACACUUUUCAGGACGGUAAUUUUUAUUCACACGUGAAUCAAAACACCUUGGUUGUUCUUUGAACACAGCACAAAAGAUUUGUUGUCCAUUAGGAUGGCGAAAAAAGAAAAAACUUCCAUUUUAAUUUUCUUUUUGGUAGACAAGGUAAGAGAAAUAAAUGUACUUAUUGUGAAGAUAUAGUCCAACUUGUCUUGAUUAUAGAAAAUUAAAAUGUUAUAGUGACCUGAGGAGUAGGAAUGCAACUAUGGUAAUAAGAAGUUUUAAUAUCUCAAAACUAAGUUCUGAGUUGUCUGCACAUACAAACUGCCUUUGUAGCUACUUCACUUCACGUCGACAUCAGGAGAAGUACCAUGAAAGUCUAUGUUUUAACGAGGAAGCACUUUCUUAAAUAAGAUUUACAUUGAAGUAAAUGCUUCUAUAAGACAAAAGUAGAAAAUAUAUUAAUUUAGCAUCAUUGCUUCAUUUACAUGGUCCUUUUUCCGCCCUUAAAGUUUGAAAGUAGAAUUUUGAGAUCAUAUUCUAGGUGUGACAGGGACGGUGAUAGGCCAAAAUGGCUUUUGAGCAUUACUGUGAACAGAGAUUUCUGGCAGAGACUAGGGAGAGGAAGAUCCAGUUCUGUGAAUUCUUCACUAGGACGGCUGGCUGGACUCCAGCCUGUUCUAGUACUCACAAUCCCACAUGAUACUUUUCUCCUCUAGCAAUACAAAUUUCACCAGAAAAAAUUACUAAGGACAUGAUAGAGUGGGGGGCAAAGAAGAAGAAAAAAAAAAAUCCCGGGGGGGGAGGGGGACCACAUGAUUGUAAAAUAAUACAGCUAAAAUACAUAACUGAUUCUUUACAGUGGCUUGACACUCCCUGUGUCAAAAACCAUCCGCCUUGUGUUUACUAAAGUUUUCUCUGUACAAAAUGAAGUUGACAGGGGAAAAAUAAAUAGAGCAGACUGUGACUCACUCAGCCAACAUAAAUUAAUGCAAUGCUUUGCCCUGUGAGGAAAUCUGCCGCUGAAUAACACUGAACUUUCUCUGUUUGCCUGUAUUCGAUGAAAUCUUUGAAUUCCUACAGAAUGCUGUUCUUUUUUUUUUUUUUUCUGACAUGAGACAAAUUCUUUAUAAACAUCUUGUUUGGAUCAGCCACCACAUUGUAACAUUGUUUCUUACACUAAGGCUACUAUUCUAUAAAACUGUUACAUAUCUCCACUCUAACUACAGUGCAAAGCUAAAAAAAAAUUAAAAAAAAUAAAAAAAUAAAAAAAAGCAACACCUUCAGUUUUCUAAGACUUUACUCUCAUUGCUUCCACAUUUUGGAUGUAUAAUCCUAAAUUAAUCUCUUCCUUGCCUCUUUUUAGCAUCAACAAAUAGGAUAUUUCCUAAUGUAGCAAGCAUUAGUUCUAUGAGCCAUGAGGGGUAGUUUUUAACCCCUCCUUCAUUCAAUGUUAACUAAAAGUCUUUUACAUGCCAAGAGGGCUACAGUCAAGCCACUGUAAAGAAUCAGUUAUGUAUUUUAGCUGUAUUAUUUUAUUUAUUUUAUUACUUUAUUUAUUAUUUAUUUUCAAAAGUUCUGAAAAUAAAAAUGAGCUCAGAAACUCUCUCUGCAAACUCACUCUCAAAGAGCCUUUACAGUUUAUUCUUAGAAAGAGCCAUGUCGUAUCUAGUCUCAAGACUAAACAAUAAAGAAAGACAAAGGGAACUGUAAACCUACAAAUCUCAAGACCCCAAGACCCAAGAACAACAGACCAAAUCAAUAUUCCUCUCCAGCAGCCACACGACGAUGAAGUGUGAGCAUGUGUCUGUACACUUCACAAAAUACAAAGCCCCCUGCAUCAGCUUUCAUAUCCCAAAGGAGUUGACCCACACUUCUAGGAAGCCCUUCACAUCCUACAACUUCUCAGAAAACAAGAAGAAUCAGAUUUUUUUGAGCAGACAAUUGUGGCUGGAAGUUGAGUUAUUAUUACUGAGCAAAUUGACUAAACUUUUAACAUAUGCAGGACUAAAAGAUAAAGUAUAAAAUGAAAACUCAUAUAUAUGAGUAACUUUUUAAAACAAAUGUUUUCUAAAAAUAUAUGAAAGAUAAGUCCAAGAUCAAAUGUGUUUCAUGGACUUAGAUUAAUAGUCAAUGGUAGAAACAUGAGUCAAAACAUUUUUUCAUAAAAUAACAAAUCUUAAAUUAAAACCCCAAAUACUCAUGAAACAACAAAUCUUUAGCUCUUAUCCCACCUAACAAAUAUACCACAAUAUAAUUACUACUUGACAGAGAGAAAAGUAAAGGUUCAUACCAGAUUAUGUUAAAGUUAUAGGGAUUUGUAAUCAAUUUUCUCAAGAUCUCCUCAUCAGAAUCCAAUGAGUCACUCAGCUCACCACUGUUUCUUCUUUUCCAAAUCUUGACUGUGAGCAGCUAAGAAAAGAUGAGCCACAUCAGAAUCAAGGCAAGCAAAGUUUUGACUGUUCAAGCUUAGACUCAGGAUGGCUGGAAACAAGACUUCCAUGUCCAAGCCCAAGUCAGGACAGUCCUUUUUUAAAGCAGAUUAAUCUUUUUCUUCAGACUUGAAAACUCUGUGCUAUGUCUAGGAAAGUAACUACUCCGCUACCUUGAUACUGAACUCUGUGUUUCUCCCAGACCUAAGAUAAGACACCUUUCUUUAUCUCCUCUGGGGAAAGAAAAUGGCUUCAAAGUCCAGUCCAGGAGACAAGCCAUACGGCAAUGCCAAUAGUAUCAGAGGCCUUGUUGGAUCACCUGACUUAGAAUUACUAUAGGAGGCAAUGUAACAAACACUUCAAUUUUUAAAAAUCCAAAAUUAGCAUAUUUCCUUAGUAAAAAUGGUCACGAAUGUCUUACAGAAUGUCACUAUUAAGUGACAACUAUUGGUUUGCACAUUAACUAAUGCUUCUGGAUGAUUUAACCAACAGAAAUGUGCUACAACUUACAACUUUAAUCUCAAACUUGAUAAAAAGUUUUCACCUUAAGGAAUAUCUACAGUCUCACAUUAAUGCAAGAAUUCUAAUUAAACAUAGUUGAAAAUAAUUUAUGGUCCUAAAACUGUUUUUAAGUAACAUUUGCAAGUAUAAGUGAUACAUAGUUAAGUAAAAUGUUGCAUAAAUGUUUCUUUAAAGGAAGCAAGGCAUCCUGGUUCCUAUUCAUCUCCCUUUUGAUAUCUUUAAAUCUUAGUCAUCAGUAAAGUUAGAAGUUCUUAAUAGUAAAUGUUUGAAAUGAGGGUUAAAAGUAUAACCACAUACUUACGCAGUAAACCUGAAGUUUUGUAGGAAUUCAUUCCCUUGCUGUUAUUUAGCCUGAGUUAUCUAACAUAGAUGAUAGAUAGGUAGGUAGGUAGAUAGAUAGAUAGAUAGAUAGAUAGAUAGAUAGAUAGAUAGAUAGAUAGUAGGUAAGAAGGUAUGUAGACAGAUAGAUAGAUUUCACCUUUCCUUGAGAAAACUGAGAUCAUGAGAUAUCAAUGAUCAUGGAGAAAUACUCUGUAUCCUAACCAUGAUCUCCCCAGAUCUGUGUGUAAAGGAGGAACGGCUACCGUUGUACAUUUCAGAAUGGAGAUAGCGGUGUCAUAGAUAUAAUAUAAAGUCAGUCCAUAGAUGCUUUUUUUUGACUGAUAGUGAGUAGGCAAACACAUUAUACUAGUCAACAAGUAGAGGUUAGCUUUCUCGUAGCUUCAUUCUCCUCUUAGCCAAGUCAAUUAGUGAGCAUAGAGCCUAGCUUUUCUAAAAGCUGAACAAAUCUACUAGGCGACAAUUGCAGUAAUACAAAAGUUUCAGAGAUAAUGUCUAUCACAUCCUGUGAUCUAAGGAGUAAACAUAAUUUAUAUAGAAAAUGGGCAAUGGGUAACAAAGCCAUUACUGUUACUAUACCUGAAAAAUCUGGAAUUGACUCUGGAGCUAUAUGAUGGGCAGUAGUUAGAAGAGUCUAGAAGAGAAGACUAGAAAAGGCAUACAGGGAUUCUGGUGGAAGGCACAGAUAAAUGGAAGCCUUGGAACUGAGAUGGCUCAUCAAAAAGAGGAUCCUAUUGAAAAUGAGGAAAAAGCUAGCCCUACAUAGUUCCAUACCAAAUAACUUGACUGCAUUGGACUCAUGCCCGAAGACUCUGGAAGGCCAAACUUAAAAGCAAUAGAGUACUUUUUCCACUAGAAUUAGCAACCAAUCACUUGGGUAUAAACAUGGUUAUUAUUUACCACGCUUAAUUAGACUAGUAGUGAGCUCCAAGAGCAAGAUAAAACAGAGGAGAAACAUUUGAAAUUUGCACAGCCUGCCUAGGGAAAGAAGGGGAAAAGGCAUAUUCUGGAGAAUGAAGCUCUGGUCAUCCCAGUGACUCAUUGUGCCAAAGAAAUUAGCACAGAUUAAAAGGGAGUCAUUAGCUAACCUUCAGUAGGACUGGAAAGGCCUCCAGUGCAUUUUAGAAAUCUUCAACAGAAUCAGUAUUGGUGCCAUGCUUUUGAAUCUUCUGAACCAUUAGGGAAGUGAUUUCAUUUCCGCAUAAACUGCUGUAUUUUGUUACAGUAACAGAAAACAGUAUUACAUGAGGAUUUCAUUGUAUUAAGAGAGUUACUAAAGUCACGCUCCAUAUUGUAUGUGAUUAUAAACACUAUAAUACUAUAAAUACUACACAAGGAAAUGCAUAGUAGAAGGAGUGAAAUUUAUAUGAGUGGCUAGAGGCAUAUGGAGUGGGGUGGGACAUAAUAAUUAAAUGGGUAUUGUGGAAAGGAAAUCACUCCAGCUAGAAGGAAAAUCGUGUGUAAAGGGGGUUUGAACUGAAAAUUGAUGGCACCUUCCAGGAACUGUUUGAUGGGACAGAAGAUGUCAAACAAAGCAGGCAAUGUUAUCAGGAUAUCUCUGAGAGGAGUCAAUCCCAGGUCCUAGAGGGACUGGUGGGAUACAGUUAAGAGGUUGAUACGUCAUUCAGAGUAUAGUAAGAAGAUAUGGAAGGAUUUUAGCUUGGGAAGUAAAAUUCUUCUGUUUAUAUUAUGAAAUUUUAGAAAAUAUUAACGAUGGCUGCAUAGUGACGCAUUGUCUGUUGUCCAGUGAGUUCAUGAAAGAAGAUAACUACAUAAACCUGUGAGUGCUCAGCACAGAUCUCUUUUCUAAGCCAAUGAACUCAUCCCCAAGCCACCAUGAGUACUGGUGCUAAAUACUCACCUACGGCACCUGUUCCCUAGAAAAGUGUUUCCUUCUUCCACUCCAAAGGCAAAAAAGGCUUAACCCCUCUACCAUAUGGCAAACCUUCCCUGUGAUCUGUGCUCAAGAUAUAUCCUCUGUAGACCAAGUCAAGGCCAUACUUACAUUGUGACUGUCAGAUAUUCAGGCUAAGUGAUAGAGGUAGAUGUCUUAUUCAAGCAUAUGAAAUAUUAAACACACACACAUACACAUGCAUACUCAUGCACUACAUACACACCACACAUUCCACACACACACACACACAGACAUAGACACACAUACACACACAUACACAUAUAUACCACACACAUACCACACACAUACAUACACCAUACAUACAGCACACAACACACAUACAUACACAUGUGCAUACAUACACACACCACAUGCACACAAGCACAUAUACAGAUACAUGCAUGUACACACAUAUUCACUCAUAUACACACACACAUGCACACACAUACACACACCAUAUAUACCACAUACAUACUACACACCACAUAGACUCACACCAUACACACACAACACACAUACAUGUACAGUUACUGUUGGGAGCCGCCCUCACAUUUGCCAUUAUAAGAUGGCGCUGACAGCUGUGUUCUAAGUGGUAAACAUAAUCUGCACACGUGCAGGGGCAGUUUUCCUGCCAUGUGUUCUGCCUUUCUCGUGAUGACAACUGGGCCGAUGGGCUGCAGCCAAUCAGGGAGUAAUACGUCC